rnacentral:tRNA from 1 species
UAUUAUUAUUUUGGCAGAUUAGUGUGAUGAAUUUAGAAUUCAUUUAUGUAAGAUAUCUUACAAGUAAUA